rnacentral:rRNA from 1 species
AUUGAACGCUGGCGGCAUGCCUUACACGUGCAAGUCGAACGGCAGCGGGGGAGAAGCUUGCUUUUCCUGCCGGCGAGUGGCGAACGGGUGAGUAAUACAUCGGAACGUGCCCUGUAGUGGGGGAUAACUAGUCGAAAGAUUAGCUAAUACCGCAUACGACCUGAGGGUGAAAGUGGGGGACCGCAAGGCCUCAUGCUAUAGGAGCGGCCGAUGUCUGAUUAGCUAGUUGGUGGGGUAAAGGCCUACCAAGGCGACGAUCAGUAGCUGGUCUGAGAGGACGAUCGGCCACACUGGGACUGAGACACGGCCCAGACUCCUACGGGAGGCAGCAGUGGGGAAUUUUGGACAAUGGGCGAAAGCCUGAUCCAGCAAUGCCGCAUGUGUGAAGAAGGCCUUCGGGUUGUAAAGCACUUUUGUCCGGAAAGAAAUGGCUCUGGUUAAUACCUGGGGUCGAUGACGGUACCGGAAGAAUAAGGACCGGCUAACUACGUGCCAGCCGCCGCCGUAA